rnacentral:rRNA from 1 species
CACUAUAGCGAGUAAAGCGGCGAAAGGGUGCGUAACGCGUAAGCAACUUGCCCAUAGGAUGGGGAUAACGUGGGAGAAAUCGGUGCUAAUACCCAAUAAUGCAGCGGCAUCGCAUGAUGAUGUUGUUCAAGGUCGCUUCGGUGGUGCCUAUGGAUGGGCUUACGUGUGAUAAGUUAGUUGGCGAGGUAACGGCUCACCAAGACGACGAUCAGUAGCUGGUCUGAGAGGAUGAUCGAGCCACACUGGAACUGAGACACGGUCCAGAGGGCUACGGGAGGCAGCAGUGAGGAAUAUUGGGCAAUGCCCGCAAUGGUGACCCAGCAACGCCGCGUGGAUGAUGACCGCCGUAAGGUUGUAAACUCCUGUUCGGGGGGACGAAUAACCGUCGUCUGCCAAGGCGACGUGCUAGACGGUACCCUCAGAGACAGCCCCGGCUAACUACGUGCCAGCGAUGCCGCGGUAAGUACGUAUGGGGCAAACGUUGUCCGGAUUUACUGGGUGUCAAGGGCGCGCAGGCCGGUCGGUCAGUCAGAGGUGAAAGCCCACAGGUUAACUGUGGAAUUGCCUUUGAUACUGCCGAUCUUGAGUGCGGGAGAGAGAAGCGGAAUUCCAGGUGUAGUGGUUGACAUACGUAGAUAUCUGGAGGACCACCGGUUGCUAAGGCGGCUUCUUGGACCGACACUGACGCUGAGGCGCGAAAGCGUGGGUCGCGAACAGGAUUAGAUACCCUGGGUAGUCCACGGCUGUAAACGAUGAAUGUUAGAUGUCGGGGGAUCGUUCCUUCGGCGUCAAAGUUAACGCAUUAAACAUUCCACUCUGGGAAGUACGAUCGCAAGGUUGUAAACUCAAAGGAAUUGACGGGGGCCCGCACAAGCCGUGGAGCAUGUGGUUUAAUUCGAUGCAACGCGAAGGACCUUACCUAGGCUUGAAAUGUGUUCGAUCGCUCGUGAAAGCGACCUUCAUUCGGGCGGACACACAGCUGCUGCAUGGCAGUCGUCAGCUCGUACCCCGAGAUCUUGGAUUAAGUCUCGCAACGUGCGCAACCCGUACCAUU